rnacentral:misc_RNA from 1 species
UGGCUUUUUCUCUUGCCUGUAUUCUCUUUAGCUCACUAUUAUUAACAUUCUUGCCGGCAUCAAUUGCUCGAUCUGCUAAUUUAGUUCGGUUGGUGAUUCACUUUUAGCUGGUGACAACAAUUCUUUCUGGACUUCACCAUCCGGUGAUUUUGCCUUCGGUUUUCGCCAACUCAACAGCAACAACAAAGAUCUUUUCUUGCUUUCUAUAUGGUUCCAUAAGAUACCAGAAAAGACUAUUUUUUUGGUCUGCA